rnacentral:rRNA from 1 species
ACACGGCGGGUGCUAACGUCCGUCGUGAAGAGGGAAACAACCCAGACCGCCAGCUAAGGUCCCAAAGUCAUGGUUAAGUGGGAAACGAUGUGGGAAGGCCCAGACAGCCAGGAUGUUGGCUUAGAAGCAGCCAUCAUUUAAAGAAAGCGUAAUAGCUCACUGGUCGAGUCGGCCUGCGCGGAAGAUGUAACGGGGCUAAACCAUGCACCGAAGCUGCGGCAGCGAACGUAUCACCCAAGACAACUUUACGGAGUUGACGAUUGACGGAGCGAAGCGACGUCAAAGCGUUCAUUAAAGUCGAGUUGGCUUAGGGAUACGUUCGUUGGGUAGGGGAGCGUUCUGUAAGCCUGUGAAGGUGGCCUGUGAGGGUUGCUGGAGGUAUCAGAAGUGCGAAUGCUGACAUAAGUAACGAUAAAGCGGGUGAAAAGCCCGCUCGCCGGAAGACCAAGGGUUCCUGUCCAACGUUAAUCGGGGCAGGGUGAGUCGACCCCUAAGGCGAGGCCGAAAGGCGUAGUCGAUGGGAAACGGGUUAAUAUUCCCGUACUUGGUGUUACUGCGAAGGGGGGACGGAGAAGGCUAUGUUGGCCGGGCGACGGUU